UUUCACUCUAUAUUCUUACAAUUUCCUCCCUGUCAAUCUCCAAGCUUAAGAAUGAAUCUCUAUUCUUGUUCUUUCUAUACUUUAAGUCUUCACAGUUUGUUGCCCCUCCUUUAUCUGGAUAAUUCUUCUUCUUCCUUAAAUUUUAAAGUCCUAUUCCUUAAGAAGUCUUUGUUCCUUUCCCUAAACUAGGUUAGACAGCUCUGCCAUGUGACUUUAUUGCAUCCUGUCCUUUUCUUUUGAAGGACAUCUCAUAUGAUCUGUUUAAUGGCUGUCUUGUCCCACAUUCAGCCCCACUGCAUGUUUUAUUGGAAUCUAGACACACUCUAUGAUUGACGAAUGCUUUUGCAUUUCAAUGGCAAAGUUGAGUAGUUGUAAGAAGCUACACAGCCUGAAAACCCCAAAUAUUUAUUAUCUGUCCUGUUACAGGAAUAGUUUGCCAACUGUUGCAUUAGACUAUAAGCACCAUGAAGACUGAAAUCAUGCCUGUUCUCAUUUCUAAAUUCCUAGCACUUCAAGUAAUGCCUGACACAAUGACAUUAAAAACCAAAUAAAAAACAUCAUUACAAGUCAAGAGAGAGAUGACAGAAGAAAGAAAAAGCUUUAUAUUUUAGCAAACAGAAGCCACUGGACAGUAACAACAAAAAAAGAGAUACUUAAGGAUACAGAGUUCAAUUUUGACAUUUCUCUCCUACUGCGUAGAAAAGACAAUUUCAAAUGAUUUACUCCUUUUGAAUGAGUUAAACUUCUGGAUGUCAACUGUAUAUGAUGAUACUUUCACAUGCCUUACCGCAUAUGAGCCUGUACCAUCCCUGAGAUAUUAAAGAAGGAAUUACUGUCCAUUCCAUUGAUGAGGAAACCGACUCCAGAAAAUGAAAUGAUCUAUCCGAAAUCAUUUAGCUAAUAAAU